AUUGAACGCUGGCGGCAGGCCUAACACAUGCAAGUCGAACGAGUGGCGGACGGGUGAGUAAUGUCUGGGAAACUGCCCGAUGGAGGGGGAUAACAACUGGAAACGGUAGCUAAUACCGCAUACCAUCGGAUGUGCCCAGAUGGGGUUAGCUCGUAGGUGGGGUAACGGCUUACCUAGGCGACGAUCCCUAGCUGGUCUGAGAGGAUGACAACCGACACGGGAACGUAGACACGGGCCAGACUCCUGCGGGAGGCCGCAGUGGGGAAUAGUGCACAAUGGGCGCAAGCCUGACGCAGCCAUGCCGCGUGUAUGAAGAAGGCCCUCGGGUUGUAAAGUACUUUCAGCGGGGAGGCGUUACUCGCAGAAGAAGCACCGGCUAACUCCGUGCCAGCAGCCGCGGUAAUUC
rnacentral:rRNA from 1 species